rnacentral:lncRNA from 1 species
UAAUAUUUGAAUUUAAAUAUUAUUAAUUUAAAUAUUAAUAAUAUUUAAAUUAGUAAUAUUAUUAAUUUAAAUUAUAUUAUUAAUAAUAUUAUUAUUAAUAUUAUUUAAAUUAAUAUUAUUUUGAAAAUGUGGAACUACUUUGGGAAGCUCUUCGUUAAGAGUAGCCCUACUGUCUUUGACAGCAGGAGUUUGAGAUCGGGCC